rnacentral:rRNA from 1 species
AUUGAACGCUGGCGGCAUGCUUUACACAUGCAAGUCGAACGGUAACAGGCCUUCGGGUGCUGACGAGUGGCGAACGGGUGAGUAAUGCAUCGGAACGUACCCAGAGGUGGGGGAUAACGCAGCGAAAGCUGUGCUAAUACCGCAUGUGAUCUGAGGAUGAAAGCGGGGGACCGAGCAGCAAUGUUUGGCCUCGCGCCUUUGGAGCGGCCGAUGUCGGAUUAGCUAGUUGGUGGGGUAAAGGCCUACCAAGGCGACGAUCCGUAGCUGGUCUGAGAGGACGACCAGCCACACUGGGACUGAGACACGGCCCAGACUCCUACGGGAGGCAGCAGUGGGGAAUUUUGGACAAUGGGCGCAAGCCUGAUCCAGCAAUGCCGCGUGCGGGAAGAAGGCCUUCGGGUUGUAAACCGCUUUUGGCAGGAACGAAACGGUGUCCGCUAAUACCGGGCGCUAAUGACGGUACCUGCAGAAUAAACACCGGCUAACUACGUG